UACAGAGGUCUCAAGCGUUGUUCGGAUUCAUUGGGCGUAAAGGGUGCGUAGGUGGUUUGGUAAGUUGAAUGUGAAAUCUCGGAGCUUAACUCCGAAACUGCCUUCAAUACUGCCGGACUUGAGGACUGUAGAGGAGAAUGGAAUUCACGGUGUAGCAGUGAAAUGCGUAGAUAUCGUGAGGAAGACCAGUGGCGAAGGCGAUUCUCUGGGCAGUUCCUGACACUGAGGCACGAAGGCUAGGGGAGCAAACGGG
rnacentral:rRNA from 1 species